rnacentral:rRNA from 1 species
UACGUAGGUGGCGAGCGUUGUCCGGAUUUACUGGGUGUAAAGGGCGCGUAGGCGGCCUUCUAAGUCGGACGUGAAAGCCCCAGGCUUAACCUGGGAACUGCGUCCGAUACUGGAAGGCUUGGAUUCGGGAGAGGGAUGUGGAAUUCCAGGUGUAGCGGUGAAAUGCGUAGAUAUCUGGAGGAACACCGGUGGCGAAGGCGGCAUCCUGGACCGAGAUCGACGCUGAGGCGCGAAAGCUAGGGGAGCAAACGGG